GACGAACGCUGGCGGCGUGCUUAACACAUGCAAGUCGAACGAAGUGGCGAACGGGUGAGUAACGCGUAAUCAACCUGCCCUUCAGAGGGGGACAACAGUUGGAAACGACUGCUAAUACCGCAUACUGAGGGAGGGGAUUGCGUCUGAUUAGCGAGUUGGCGGGGUAACGGCCCACCAAGGCGAUGAUCAGUAGCCGGUCUGAGAGGAUGAACGGCCACAUUGGGACUGAGACACGGUCCAGACUCCUACGGGAGGCAGCAGUGGGGAAUCUUGCGCAAUGAGCGAAAGCCUGACGCAGCGACGGUGCGUGGGGGAUGAAGCUUUUCGGAGUGUAAACCCCUUUCGACUGGGAAGCGGUACCAGUAGAAGAAGCCCCGGCUAACUACGUGCCAGCAGCCGCGGUAAUUC
rnacentral:rRNA from 1 species